AGGUUACUAAUUGGGCCGAGAAAAUAUUAUAAAAUCAAAAUUUUCUUCUGUUUCGGAAUGCACUGCCUGGGCGCUGACUUUUUGCUUGUUUUCAGUAAGAUGGGCGCCCCAGCGCUCACGAUGGGCGCUGCGGCGCCCAGCACGCCCGAAACGACAUUCUGCACGUCUUUCAGUAUUUUCAGCAUAACUUUCUCGUUCGAUAUCCGAUUGAAGUGAUUCAAGAUGCGUUGGAAAGCUAAUUCAAAGAGCUACAACUUGCUUCAGGCAUCAUUCUCCAAUUCGAUCGUUUUCUAUGUCAGAAAUGAGUCUCAGUAUGAGACCAAAACUCCGACGCGUAACUUUUCGAUUGGAAAAUGAUUUGUGAUCAUAUUUUGACUAAGUUUGAUCCCUUUGACACCUUCCUUCAUCCAAUUGACUCCUAGCACUCUCAUAUCUUCAUCACGAGUUUCGACACGACUUUUGAUUAAUUGCAUUUUAAUCCUCGAACUUUGGAUCUCUUACAUUUUGGUCAUUUCAUCUAAUUUCGCUAACUUUUGCCUAUUUCCUUCCUUUGGCCUCUUUUAGCUUUUGUUUUCUCCACGUCCAUCAAUCUACAAAACAACACCAAAAUCACCUGUUAGCAAUUCUAAAAUACUCUCCAAGAUAGCGAAAUCAUGAAAUUAAUGACAUAAUAUAAUGAGUGUAAAUCACUCAUCAUGACCUUUC
rnacentral:lncRNA from 1 species